GACAUUGGUAGGGAUCUCAAUAUGAUGUAGUAGUCUCUGUUAUGAUUCUGGUAAUAAUCAAUUAGGAAUGUGAAGGAGAUUUGAAAUGGAUCAUGUGGUUUGGAUCGCACGAGGAAGAACCAAAGGGGGUCAAGAGGGCAAAGAGGUGGUUAAUAGAAGAAAUUAUCUUCAAAUUAUCCUUUGGGGGCGGAUGUAAGUUUGUAAGCAGUGAAUGAAGCAUCGGCGGGCAAACAGCAGCAUCCAAGUGUUAUCUGAUACAUCCUAACACGAAUUCUGGUUUUACACCAAAUUAUGAGUAUCAUACCAAGGAUCACUGUAGUUCUUAAAAGAGUCCUUUGACUUUUUAUCAUCAAAAGUCGGUGAAUCAACAAAUUGGUUAGGGUUUGAUGAUGUAUAUUGAACUGAAUCUGAGCGUUCAAUCUCUACAUGCUUACUAUCAGAGCACACCAUAUCUACAAAUGUUGUCGCUUCUUUUGACGGUUUGAUAGGUGCAUAACCAACAUCCUGGGCAAAAACAUCAUAAAUGAUCCUCAGCUGAAGCAUUGUGAUUAAAUUGCUCAACUACAGGUGGUGGCAACGUACUUCCGGAGCGUCUAUGCACAUAUUUGGUACUACCGACUAUUUCCUGAACUCUAUUCCUAAAAUACAAUUAUUUUACCAAAAAAAAAAAAAUCAUUAAAGUU
rnacentral:lncRNA from 1 species